rnacentral:rRNA from 1 species
GAAUAGAAUUUAGGUCUAACCUGCCCAUUGAUUAUUUUAACGGCCGCAGUAUUUUGACUGUGCAAAGGUAGCAUAAUCAUUAGUUUUUUAAUUGAAAGCUUGUAUGAAUGGUUGGACGAGAUAUAAUCUGUCUUUAGUUUAUAAAUAGAAUUUAAUUUUUAAGUUAAAAAGCUUAAAUAGUUUUAAAAGACGAGAAGACCCUAUAGAUCUUUAUAAAUAUAAAGAUUUAAUUUUUAAGGAUUAUUAAAUUUUAUAUUUUUUUAUUUAUUUAAUUGGGGUAAUGAAAAGAUUUAAAAAAUUCUUUUUAUAUUAAACAUAGAUAAAUGAUUUAAAUGAUCCAUUAUUAUUGAUUAUAAGAUUAAGUUACCUUAGGGAUAACAGCGUGAUUUUUUUUGAGAGUUCUUAUCGAUAAAAAAGUUUGCGACCUCGAUGUUGGAUUAAAAUUAAUUUUGGGUGUAGGAGUUUGAAGUUUUAGUCUGUUCGACUAUUAAAAUUUUACAUGAUCUGAGUUCAAACCGGUGUAAGCCAGGUUGGUUUCUAUCUUUAAUUAAUUAACAUAUUUUAGUACGAAAGGACCAAGUAUUUAAUAUAUAAUAUUUAAAAAUUUGAAUAGAA